rnacentral:rRNA from 1 species
GAUGAACGCUGGCGGCGUGCCUAAUACAUGCAAGUCGAGCGAACAGACGAGGAGCUUGCUCCUCUGACGUUAGCGGCGGACGGGUGAGUAACACGUGUAUAACCUACCUAUAAUACUGGGAUAACUUCGGGAAACCGGAGCUAAUACCGGAUAACAUGCUGAACCGCAUGGUUCAACAGUGAAAGACGGUCUUGCUGUCACUUAUAGAUGGAUCCGCGCCGCAUUAGCUAGUUGGUAAGGUAACGGCUUACCAAGGCAACGAUGCGUAGCCGACCUGAGAGGGUGAUCGGCCACACGAGAACGGAGACACGGUCCAGACUCCUACGGGAGGCAGCAGUAGGGAAUCUUCCGCAAUGGGCGAAAGCCUGACGGAGCAACGCCGCGUGAGUGAAGAAGGUCUUCGGAUCGUAAAACUCUGUUAUUAGGGAAGAACAAAUGUGUAAGUAACUAUGCACGGCUUGACGGUACCUAAUCAGAAAGCCACGGCUAACUACGUG